rnacentral:ncRNA from 1 species
AUGUUGCUGCCACCGGGUAGUGAGCGAAAGCUCUCGUUUGCACAUCGUUAGGUCUUAGAAGAUGUGUAAGCGAGGGCUUAUUUUUU